rnacentral:lncRNA from 1 species
CUCAAAGUUGAAAGUAAGGAAGAUUUACAAAGAUUUCCAUGAAGAUAGAGCUGCAGAGUAUCAACUUCACUUCACCAAUGUGGGAUGCUUCUCCAACCUCCUCAUUAUUACUUCCUCUCCUUGGCAUUUACAGUUCCCAGAUGAGAAUGAGGGUUUUGGCUACCAAGUGUAUCUAUUCUCUGACUUCAGUGUCUAGAAGAACAUUAAAAAGAAAAGGAAUUGAGAAAGAAAGAAGCAAGCAAGCAAACAAACAAACAAAGAGAAGUAGUCGUUUCGAGGUAAAGUCACCAUUAUUCUUAUAUUAUUGCAUGUGAAGUCAUUUUUACCACAUUUCAACCAUAUCAAUUGCCAACUUGAAUGAAUACAUGUCCAGAGUGUUCUCUCCUCUAUUCGUCAGGCUCUGCUAAAGAGAAACCGCCAACCACAAACCUGAAAGGAUAAAUGAAUGACAACAAUCCUGUAUCUGGUCUGUAAACC